rnacentral:rRNA from 1 species
UACGUAGGGUGCAAGCGUUAAUCGGAAUUACUGGGCGUAAAGCGUGCGCAGGCGGUUUUGUAAGUUUGUCGUGAAAGCCCCGGGCUCAACCUGGGAAUGGCGAUGAAGACUGCAAGGCUUGAAUCUGGCAGAGGGGGGUAGAAUUCCACGUGUAGCAGUGAAAUGCGUAGAGAUGUGGAGGAACACCGAUGACGAAGGCAGCCCCCUGGGUCAAGAUUGACGCUCAUGCACGAAAGCGUGGGGAGCAAACAGG